CGCGUAGGCGGUUUUGUAAGUCGGAUGUGAAAUCCCCGGGCUUAACCUGGGAACUGCAUUCGAUACUGCAUAACCAGAGUAUGGUAGAGGGAAGUGGAAUUCCGGGUGUAGCGGUGAAAUGCGUAGAUAUCCGGAGGAACACCGGUGGCGAAGGCGACUUCCUGGGCCAAUACUGACGCUGAGGUGCGAAAGCGUGGGGAGCAAACA
rnacentral:rRNA from 1 species